CCUACGGGAGACUGCAGUGAGGAAUAUUGGUCAAUGGACGGAAGUCUGAACCAGCCAUGCCGCGUGCAGGAAGACGGCUCUAUGAGUUGUAAACUGCUUUUGUACAAGGGUAAACCUGAAUACGUGUAUUCAGCUGACAGUCCUGUACGUAUAAGGAUCGGCUAACUCCGUGCCAGCAGCCGCGGUAAUACGGAGGAUCCAAGCGUUAUCCGGAUUUAUUGGGUUGAAAGGGUGCGUAGGCGGAUUGAUAAGUUAGAGGUGAAAUGUCCGGGCUUAACUCGGGACCUGCCUCUAAUACUGUUGAUCUAGAGGGUAGGUGCGGUAGGCGGAAUGUAUGGUGUAGCGGUGAAAUGCUUAGAGAUCAUACAGAACACCGGUUGCGAAGGCAGCUUAC
rnacentral:rRNA from 1 species